rnacentral:rRNA from 1 species
GGGGGGGGGGGGGGGGGGGGGGGGGGGGGGGGGGGGGGGCGGGGGGGGGAGGAGGUGGCUCCGCUGGGGGUGGCGGCGGACGGGUGGGUAGCACGUGGGGAAGCUGGCUCUAAGCCUGGGCUCACUUCGGGAGACCGGCGCUAAUACCGGAUACUAUAUUGCAACGCAUGGUUCAAUAGUGAAAGCCGGUUUUGCUGUCACUUCUAGAUGGAUCCGUGCCGCAUUAGCUAGUUGGUAAGGUAACUGCUUACCCAGGCAACGAUGCGUAGCCGACCUGAGAGGGUGAACGGCCACACUGGAACUGAGACACGGUCCAGACUCCUACGGGAGGCAGCAGUAGGGAAUCUUCCGCAAUGGGCGAAAGCCUGACGGAGCAACUCCGCGUGAGUGAUGAAGGUCUUCGGAUCGUAAAACUCUGUUAUUAGGGAAGAACAAAUGUGUAAGUAACUAUGCACGUCUUGACGGUACCUAAUCAGAAAGCCACGGCUAACUACGUG